rnacentral:rRNA from 1 species
UUGUCGAUACCUAAACAUCAACGACCCGCGAACACGUUCACGAACCGUGCCUGAGAGGGCGUUGCGUGCUUGUCGCGCCCGUCCUUCCAGGCGCCACAACAACCAAACCCCGGCGCAGGUCGCGCCAAGGAACAUUAACAAAAUCGCCUGCCCCCAGCCCCGACUUCGGUGUGCGGGGGGCGGAGCAUUACUGUCGUAUCCACAACGACUCUCGGCAACGGAUAUCUCGGCUCUCGCAUCGAUGAAGAACGUAGCGAAAUGCGAUACUUGGUGUGAAUUGCAGGAUCCCGCGAACCACCGAGUCUUUGAACGCAAGUUGCGCCCGGAGCCAUCUGGCCGAGGGCACGUCUGCCUGGGCGUCACGCAUCGCUGCCCCCCCACGCAACCCUCGCCCACUUACACGGUGCAAGGGUCGGGGCGCGGGGCACACGUUGGCCUCCCGUGCGCGCCGUCGUGCGGAUGGCUUAAAAUUGAGUCCUCGGCGCCUGUCGUCGCGGCGUUACGGUGGUUGAUUCGACCUCGGUACCGCGUCGUGACCUCACGCUUGCGCGCCUCACCCCUCAGCGAGUGAGCGAGUUCUCUUCAACCGACCCUCUGAACGUCGUCCCUUGGGAUGAUGCUCUCGACGCGACCCCA